AGCAGGCGUGAGAGAGCAAACCAGUGAAGGGGGAAGAGUUCCUUAUAAAACCAUCAGAUCUCAUGAGAACUCACCUCAUAGAUUUCCUGAUUCAUGGUAUUGCAGCACCAUCAGAUUCCCAAGCACUGCUCUUCUCUCACUCUCCCACUUUGAAUAAGUGCUGUCAGCUCUCCCUCCUUUUUGUUCCCCAUUCCUCUGCUGGAGCCUUUUUUGGGCCACCAUUUCUUACCUGGGCCUUUGCAAUAGGCUAACCAACAUUCCAGCUCUAGGCCUCUUUACUGAUUUCUGGCACAAAAAUCGGAUCAUACCAUUCCAGCACUUAAAAAGUCAUGUUUCUCUGUUUUUAAGGAUUAUAAAAUUCAAAAUCUUUAGCAUACCACAAAAAACCCUUUGUAAGUUUAGGAUACCAGCCAGACCCCUCUCCUGUCAUGUCCUACUGCAAGUAGCCUCUUUUCAUGGGGUGUCUCACACCUCUGCAUAUAUCAUUCCCUUAUUCCCUCUUCCUCAUAUGAUCCUGUACUCCUAUCCUCUUUUAGGUAAACUCCUUACUUCUAGUGCUUCAAAGCACAAUUUGAAUAUCAACUCUUUUUAAAGCCAUUGUAUUAGUCUGUUUUCACACUGUUACAAAGACAUACCCAAGACUGGGUAAUUUAUAAAGAAAAGAGAUUUAGAUGAUUCACAGUUCCACACGGCUGGGGAGGUUUCAGGAAAGCUGCCCUCCCACCACCCAGCACUACGUGCCUAUGCAGGAAUGUGUCCUUUGAGCAAAAUACAGCAAGGAAAGAGGGAGAAAAAUCUGUGUUUUCACUUUUUUUCUUUUUCUUUUUAAGAGGUGGGGUCUUGCUGUGUUGUCCAGGCUGGAUUUGAACUCCUGGGCUCAGGUGGUUCUCCUGCCUCCACCUACGAGUAGCUGGGACUACAGGCACACACCACAAUGCCAGGUUUUUGUGGUCUCUCUUUAAAGGUGAGUCUGCAUUCACCUUUGGAAUAGUUCUAGUUGUCAGAGAUUGAAUAUCCUAUUUGAAAAUGCAAUAUUCUUACAACUGCCUUUGAUGAAAGGGAGUUGAGAUGGGACCAUUGGGGAAACCUCCAGAUGACUAGGGGGCAAGUAAUUUGAUUGCAGUGCCAAAAUGCUUCCAUUUAAGGAGCCAAAGUUUGCAAAUGUGUGUAAACUGAUCCAGUCUAUUCCCAGGAUGUGCCUGGAGUAACUAACAUAUGUAAGUUGAUCCAACCUAUUUCCGAGGUGUGCCUGGGAUAUAAAUGGUUAACAUUGACAAACACACCUUAUGAAAUCUACCAGCAGCUGAGGGUGCCAGGUACCUCUUCUACCUCCCUGGAAGGCCCAGUGGGGCGGCGUUUCGAAGCUGUCUUCGCCCCUGUCCCCGGCCCCUGUCCCCUCCCGGGACGUGGGCGUUCCCCCUGAACUCGAGUCCCGCCUCUUCCAGGCUGCCGGGGCCUGGUGGGCUGGCCCGCCACGUGGAGCGCUGGCCUGAUUCUCGAAAGGGGCCUACGCCAUUGCCGCGCCGCAGCUCCAGGACAGGCCCUCGCCCCACGUCAACAGCGUAGGGCCGGCUGCCCAGGUUUACUCUUACGCCACUGACGUAACGUCAUCGUGCGGGACGUGGACGGAAGAAAAAAGAGAGUGAGCGAGCGCCGGAAUCAGCCCGGCGUGGAGUGCGGACCCGCGGUAGUGCCAGGCGGCGAAGGCGGCGGUGGUGAGGAAGGUACGCGGCGAGCGGCGGGCGGCGGGGAAGGCUAGGUGCCCGCGUCUCUGCGGAAGCUGUUGCGCGCCCAGGCUCAAGCGCGAGGGGCGUGAGCGCCGGGCCGCUGGAGCGGGGACGCUGCCGGAGCAGGUGCCGGGGCCCGGGGAUCUGGCCCAUGGGUAGGUGUGGGCCUCGGCCGAGGGAUGGCGGCUGCAUCGGGCCGCCCAGGGCGCGCUGCAAGACCGUGGCGCGCUCCCAUAUGCCGGUGCGCGGCCGCCCCGGGAUCUACGGAUGGCUACGGGCCCUGACCUCCCCGGCCUCCCCUGGGUACACCAUGUGAGGAACUGGGCCAAGUGGAGACUUCAGGCAUCCGCGGGCCCCUUCUUUCCAAGAGUAUGGAGCCUGCACUGGUGGAUGGCGUGGGUGGCGGUGGUGGCAGCGCCGGGAUGCCGCGGGUUUUAGCUGGCCGCACGCCGACUCUCAGGGGCCUGGGUCCCUAGUUCCCCGCGGCCCUCCAGGCGUUCGUCAUCCCCUCCUCAAAGCCAGACUCCCUUUGCAGUAUGGCAUUCUCUGUAUGCUGGGGUCUUCCUGUUACAGGAGGACGCACCUACAUACCCCACCUCAUCCUUCCCCCAUCAUUGUCCCCUGCCCUCUGAGGUGGUGAGGCCCAUCGGAUCUUUGUAUUUAAGUGGUGAGCCAUAUACCGAGCAUGUGUUUGUGGGUGAACCAUGCUGGGACUGAGGUUCACUUCUCUGUUCAAAUCAGUUAGAUAAGGGCUUUCUGUUUAGUCUGUAAAGAGAUACUUGAGAAAUGUCUUGAGUCAAAACGUGAAAACUUUCUUCAACUGAUGAUAUGGAGUCUAAACACACACACAGAGUCUAGACACCGUCACACGGAUCUAGACACGAGUCUAGAUACACACACACACACACACACACUCACACUCUCUUUGCUCCUUGGGAUCAACUGUGUGCUUCUCGAGGGCGUAAUACACUCCGGCAGGGUGAGCUAUCCAUUGCAGUGACAGAGUAGAUGUAACCUCCGAGGUCAGUCAGAGAUGGUGGUACAGGGAAGAGGUCAGGAGGCUUGGUUUCUACGUCAGUCUUCAAUCUCUAUUUCAGUGACCGUAAGUGUUCAGAGCUUUCAAUGACUCUUGGUUAAUAGAGAGGUAAACAGUCAGUCAAUAUAUGUGUGUGAUUGUAUCUAAUAGUGAAUAUUCGUUGAAUUCUUUGUUCCCGUGAUGGGUCUUGAAGGAAAUUAAGGAAAAAAUAAUUGUAAGGCAUCAUUAGUGCCUAAAAGACAAAAGGAGGAAAACUGACAUUUACUGACCAUUUGUUGUACCCAAGCACUUUCCACGCAUUAUCUCUUUUAAUUCUCACUAUAAUUUCAUGAGGUCCAUAGUGUUAGUAUCCCUGAUUUAUAAGUGAGGAAACAGAGGCUUAGAAAAAUUGGGUAACUCUUACAUAUGUAACUAACCUGCACAUUGUGCACAUGUACCCUAAAACUUAAAGUAUAAUAAUAAUAAUAAAAAAAGAAAAAUUGGGUAACUCUCCACAAGACACACAGCAAGUGCAGAGCUCGAACCCAAAUCUGACCAAUUUCAAAGGCCUUGUUCCUCAUCGUUUUUGCCAUAUUGUCAAUGGAAAGUUUGUAAUCCAGAUGGGAAAAGCAGUAGUCAUGAGCUAUUUAAAAGCUAACCUAUGGAAUUAUAUCCAGCUGUGAAGACUAGCCUUGCUGGGGAAGGUUUCUUAGGGAGGUGGAACUGGAAUUUGAUUGUUUUACCCUUUGGCUCUUCUGUAGUUAUUUUGGAGAAUUCACAAGUAAAUAAUUGUUUAGCAGCCAUUAUUGAAGGAAUUUAUAUAAGCAGCAAACUUAGAUCACGUGCUAAAAUCAUACUUCAGUGUUAUGAAAAAAUUGAAAUAACAAAGAUCAAUUAAUACUUUCUGUUGCCUACUAGAUGCCAUAUGUUUUAGAACAGCUGUAUCCUGCCAUUCUCUUCUCUGUCCCAUUUCGGUGCCUUUGUGCAGUAUAAAUUGUAAAGCAAUAACACCAUUCCUAAUUUUUCUUCACUAUGGGGCUAAAUGCUAGUCUUCUGAGGCACAUUUAAGAGGGCUGGGAUAUAUCCACCAAUCCAUGGAACAAAAGUUAAAAGGAGGCCCACAAACAAAGAAAGUGAAGUGUUUUUCUUACCUUGUGAAAAUAGCAGUGUCUCUGUAGCAUAAAAAGAGCUACAAUAUUGGGAGGCCGAGGUGGGUGGAUCACAAGGUCAGGAGAUCGAGACCAUCCUGGCCAACAUGGUGAAACCCCGUCUCUACUAAAAUACAAAAAAUUAGCCAGGCAUGGUAGUGCGUGCCUGUAGUCCCAGCUACUCAGGAGGCUGAGGCAGGGGAAUCGCUUGAACCCGGGAGACAGAGGUUGCAGUGAGCCGAGAUCGCUCCACUGUACUCCAGCCUGGCAACAGAGCAAGACUCCAUCUUAAAAAAAAAAAAAAAAAGCUACAAUAAUGAAUGGCUUGUUCUCCCUGUACAUAUAGGAAGAAGUUCCCUACUUUUUUGUGAAAUAAACUAUUCUUUGUCUAAAGUCUCAAAUUUGACCCAGGGUGAGGAAAUGCCCAUAACUGCCUUAUGUUCUCAACCGAGAUUUGUAGCCAUAUUCUCUUCCUCCACAGGAUUAAGAUGUUAGCCAGUUGUAGGCAUUGCCACUGCCUUCCAGGGGUACAAGAGUUAUUUUGUAAUCCUGUGGGCAUCAGGAAGAAAGACAUGGCAGCAGCCUCUGGCCUUUCCUCUUGCUUUUCAUGGCUGGCUGGCAAGGAUCAAGCUGACAUUUCAAAUAGGUGCAUUUCCUGGUUCUGUUGGGAGAUGUUAGCAGAAAGGUGGACAUGAUUGCUUUAGGAUGUUGGAUCUGUUACAGGAAUUAUAUGAAGAUUUAGUAUUAACACAUAAGCAUUGCACCUGAAAGAUUGUUUUUUAAAUUUGGAAGAUACCAAAAAGAGCAGGUGUCUUUUGUGUCUCAAAAUAUUCCUAACCCUGCAUUAUUAUUUGCUUACAUAAAAACUAAGAUGGUUGAGGCCUAGAAAGGAGCCAAUUACUUUUUCUCUCUUUUCUAUAAUAUAGAGGAGGUGGGAGUUUCCCUAAUACAGAGGAGUUUGGAGCAGGAGAGUCAGAUUUUUACUCCGAGGGUAAGGGGAAGUAGAGGGAAAUAAAAUGAAUUGUCCAGUAUUUUUCCUUACUCACUUUUUAAAAAAUGUAUUCUGCAGAUACUUUGGUCAGUGACCACAUCGCAGCAUGUUGAGUCAAGUUUACCGCUGUGGGUUCCAGCCCUUCAACCAACAUCGCCUGCCCUGGGUCAAGUGUACAACCGUCAUCAGAUCUCGUAUGUACCAUAGAAAACUUAUGAGUAUGUGGGAAGUUUGAUAGUCAAAGUAUGUUUCAACAAGGUUUUCAAAGAGAAAAAAGAUGUUUGUUUGUUUGGAGACAGGGUCUCAUUUUGUCACCCAGGCUGGAUUGCAGUGGCACAAACAUAGCUCCAUACAGUCCAGACCUCUUGGACUCAAGCAAUCCUCCUGCCUCAGCCCACCAAGUACUUGGGACUACAGGCACACACCACCACGCUGACUCUAACUUUUCUAUUUUUUGUCCAGAUGCGAUUUUGCCGUGUUGCCCAGGCUGGUCUUGAACUCUUGAGAUCAAACAAUCUGCCUGCCUUGGCGUCCCAAAGUGCUGGGAUUACAGGCGUGAGCCAUCGUGCCCAGCCAAGAAAAAAGGUUUAAAAGAGAGAGAGAGAAAAAAAAGAUGUAAUUUGGCAGAAUUGGACAAAAUUCUGCCAAAUAGCAAGGAGGCAAAGAGGUAGUCUCCUGGUGAAAUGUUCUCAGUGUUUGUGUCAAUAAAGUUGACCCCCAAAUAAAUUUUUACAUGCUUUUUUUUUUUUUCUUGAGUCUCACUGUGUCUCCCAGGCUGGAGUGCAGUGGUGUAAUCUCAGCUCACUGCAACCUCUGCUUCCCAGGUUCAAGCGAUUCUCCUGCCUCAGCCUCCCAAUUAGCUGGGAUUACAGGUGUGCAUCACCACACCCAGCUAAUUUUGUAUUUUUAGUAGAAAUAGGGUUUUGCCAUGUUGGCCAGGCUGGUCUCAAACUCCUGACCUCAGGUGAUCUGCCUGCCUUGGCCUCCCUCCCAAAGUGUUGGGAUUACAGGCGUUAGCCACUGUGCCCGGCCCCAUGCUAUUUUUGUUCAUUACUCUUUUUUUGUAAUUAAGUUUUAGAUUUUGAGCUAAUUAUAAAUUCACUUGCAAUUUUAAGAAAUAGUACAAAAAGGUCCCUUAUACCCUUUACCCAAUUUCACCCAGUAUCUGAACCAAGGUAUUGACAUUGAUACUAUCAAGAUACAGAACAUUUCAAUCACCACAGGAUUUUUUAUUUCUCUUUAACAGCCACUGUCCUCUUCCCUGUUACUAACCCCUGGCCAACAUUAAUCUGGUCUACAUUUUUAUAAUUUUGUCCUUAUAAAAAUGUUAUAUAAAUGGAAUCAUCCAGUAUGUGACCUUUUGGGAUUCUGUUUUCUUCAGCAUAAUUCUCUGGAGAUUCAUUCAAGUUGCUGUGUGUAUCAGUUAGUUCCUUUUUAUUACUGAGAAGUAUUUAAUGCUAUGAGUAUAUCACAGUUAGUGUAACCAUUCACCCAUUAAAGGACAUCUGGGUUGCUCUCAUUUUUUGGCUGUUACGAAUAAGGCUGGUAUGAACAUUGACGUACAGGAUUUUGUGUGAACAUAGUUUUCAUUUCUGUGGGAUAAAUGCCUAAGAGUGUAGUUGUUGGGUCAGAUUGUAGCU
rnacentral:lncRNA from 1 species